UACGUAGGGUGCGAGCGUUAAUCGGAAUUACUGGGCGUAAAGCGUGCGCAGGCGGUUUUGUAAGUCAGAUGUGAAAGCCCCGGGCUCAACCUGGGAAUUGCAUUUGAAACUGCAAGGCUAGAGUGUGUCAGAGGGGGGUAGAAUUCCACGUGUAGCAGUGAAAUGCGUAGAGAUGUGGAGGAAUACCGAUGGCGAAGGCAGCCCCCUGGGAUAACACUGACGCUCAUGCACGAAAGCGUGGGGAGCAAACAGG
rnacentral:rRNA from 1 species